rnacentral:rRNA from 1 species
UACGGGGGGGGCAAGCGUUGUUCGGAAUUACUGGGCGUAAAGGGCUCGUAGGCGGCCAACUAAGUCCGACGUGAAAUCCCCAGGCUUAACCUGGGAACUGCGUCGGAUACUGGAUGGCUUGAAUCCGGGAGAGGGAUGCGGAAUUCCAGGUGUAGCGGUGAAAUGCGUAGAUAUCGGGAGGAACACCAGUGGCGAAGGCGGCUUCCUGGCCUGUUCUUGACGCUGAGGCGCGAAAGCUAGGGGAGCAAACGGG